AGGCUGCCAUCUCUGGUAGCACUCAGCCAGCCACGGAACAGCAUCAGGGACUCGGCCAAACCACUAUAUGCUUAUAGUUCUACAGCAGAUUUUGUAAUCAGAGGACAGAAAAGAACACAUUGGAAGUAAUCAUAUUUUGAUGAAUGUACAUGAAGGUUUCUUCCUGCAAUUUAAAGAAUAAUACCUUCCACAAUUGCUUUUGAUGAAUUUCUGCUCUGCAUCUCAGAAGAUGAUCCUGUAUUUGUUCCUUUAACCU